UCUCAGCGUCAUGGCGAGGAGAGAGCUCCUAGGAGUAGUUAUGUGCGUUGUUGUGGUGGAACCCCUGGUCCUGUUGCCCCAAGAGGGAAAGCGAGAGCUAGAGCGAGGUGAGUGGGUCAUCGUCGACGUCCCCGGCACUAAUGGCAUAGAAGCCGCGAGGGCAUCGCUCGGUCUCGGUGACUCAAGAGAAUUUAGAACCAAGAGACCAGCCUUUGUCACCCUAUGGAUCUGGCAUGCGGAAUGGACACCAGAGCCAUCUGUAGGUGGUUUUGUAAGGAAGAACGUCGUCAUUCAUAAACAAGUCGGCGACGAGUCGCAUGUCGAUCUGCACCUCUAG
rnacentral:lncRNA from 1 species